rnacentral:misc_RNA from 1 species
GAUGAAGAACGUAGCGAAAUGCGAUAACUAAUGUGAAUUGCAGAAUUCAGUGAAUCAUCGAAUCUUUGAACGCACAUUGCGCCCGCCAGUAUUCUGGCGGGCAUGCCUGUUCGAGCGUCAUUUCAACCCUCAGGCCCCCAGUGCCUGGCGUUGGGGAUCGGCGCGGCGCCCUCCGGGGCGCUGCCGGCCCCGAAAUUCAGUGGCGGUCUCGCUGUAGCCCUCCUCCGCGUAGUAGCACAACCUCGCGGCCUGGAGCUCGGCGGUGGCCAUGCCGUAAAACACCCCACUUCUGAAAGUUGACCUCGGAUCAGGUAGGAAUACCCGCUGAACUUAAGCAUAUCAAUAAGCGGAGGA